rnacentral:rRNA from 1 species
UGGGGAAUUUUGGACAAUGGGCGAAAGCCUGAUCCAGCAAUGCCGCGUGUGUGAAGAAGGCCUUCGGGUUGUAAAGCACUUUUGUCCGGAAAGAAAUCCUUGGCUCUAAUACAGUCGGGGGAUGACGGUACCGGAAGAAUAAGCACCGGCUAACUACGUGCCAGCAGCCGCGGUAAUACGUAGGGUGCAAGCGUUAAUCGGAAUUACUGGGCGUAAAGCGUGCGCAGGCGGUUUGCUAAGACCGAUGUGAAAUCCCCGGGCUCAACCUGGGAACUGCAUUGGUGACUGGCAGGCUAGAGUAUGGCAGAGGGGGGUAGAAUUCCACGUGUAGCAGUGAAAUGCGUAGAGAUGUGGAGGAAUACCGAUGGCGAAGGCAGCCUCCUGGGCCAAUACUGACGCUCAUGCACGAAAAGCGUGGGGAGCAAACAGGAUUAAUACCCUGGUAGUCCACGCCCUAAAACGAUGUCAACUAGUUGUUGGGGAUUCAUUUCCUUAGUAACGUAGCUAACGCGUGAAGUUGACCGCCUGGGGAGUACGGUCGCAAGAUUAAAACUCAAAUGAAUUGACGGGGU